UACAGAGGGUGCGAGCGUUAAUCGGAAUUACUGGGCGUAAAGCGCACGUAGGCGGAUUGUUAAGUCGGGGGUGAAAUCCUGGAGCUCAACUCCAGAACUGCCUUCGAUACUGGCGAUCUCGAGUUCGGGAGAGGUGAGUGGAACUGCGAGUGUAGAGGUGAAAUUCGUAGAUAUUCGCAAGAACACCAGUGGCGAAGGCGGCUCACUGGCCCGAUACUGACGCUGAGGCACGAAAGCGUGGGGAGCAAACAGG
rnacentral:rRNA from 1 species